CAAAGUAAAGUAACAGAAGUGGCCCUAACCACUGAGAACUACCGUUCUUUGGCCUGCAGUAUCACUUAGGGGAGGAGAGCACCUAAUUUGUCAGGGAAAACCUCCUGUUUUCUGGUGAACCCAGAUGAUAUGUGUUCAUAAAGAAUAGCCCCCAAGAAUGACGACGGCUUUCUCCUGAGUUCCUUCUGUCUUAGCAUUAGCUUGGGUUUUUAAACCUGGAAGAAACCAACGUAUCAGUUUAUUCUCAAACAAAAUCUUUCCUCCCCUUCGUUCAUACUUUGUGAAGGAAGUGGGAAUUCACCCCUGCAGCCAAAGUAAGUGGCCUAGAGAAUGGCCUGGCACAAAGCUAGCUGUCUGCAGGAGGGCAUGGAAGCUACCUGGCCUUUGAUUACUUCUCCCAGCUGGCAGGUUUUUGUUCAUUUAUUGUAGAUGUACUUAUAGUUUGACCUUUCUGUAAGGAUUUGUGUGGCAAGAUAUUUGAGUGCUUUUUACUGGACUGGUGAGAGGUUUGGGUUUGAGUCUCUGGCCAUAUUAUUGAAAAGUUGUGUGGCUUUGGAUAAGUUCCCGACAUUGAGUUUCAGGAUCCCAAGUGUAACAGGAGAGGGCUGAAAUAAAAGACCUUUAAUGUGGGAUCCAGGCUUGACCUUGAUUUGGAGGUUAGGCCAGGAUUAGCAAGAUGGGGAAUUUCCAGUCCUGGAAGAUGUCCUGCCCAGGCGGAUGAACUUUGUUCUUGGUAGGAGGUCUAGGGACCCCAGUGGCAGGGCUAAUCUUGCUCAGCAUUAGCACGAGAAGCACCUUCCUUCCUUCUUUCUUUGGCCUAGUUUUAUGGAACUGGUUUACGCUUAGAAGAUAACAGUAAGAAGAGUAUCCUUUUGGACGGAGUCCAUCUUCCAUCUCCAGGCACUGUGAAUCCUUUCUACUAUUCAUACUCCUCACUGAUGGAAGAAGCCAUUCCCGGUUCUAGAACUUCUGUUUUCCUCAGCCAAACCCCUGUCACAGUUUGAAUAAAUUAUGAAACCAUUGCUAAAAUCCUUGGCUUGAGUUAGGGCACUGGCAUCAAAGGAGUGAGGAGUGCCAGGGAACCUCAAGAGGAAUUUGCCACAAGUGGAUUUUCCACUUGUCCAUAGCCCCUCACCUAUGCUGGCACUGGCCUAUUAUUUUCAUAGACAGCAUCUGUAGGAUAUGAGGUGUUGGGGAAAUGACUGGCAAGGGGCAGAUUCUUUCUGGACUACUUGUGCUCCCAGAAGGGUCCUUUCUGUGGCAUAUCAUCCCACUUCCUCAGCUCUGCAGGGCAGCCAAAGCCAGCCCUGGUCAUUAGGACCAAGGAGAAAUAGCAAUCUUCUCUCUUCCCCCAGGUGGCAGGGCUGUGAUGGCCCUUCCUACACACCUGGACUCUGCCUACCCACUUCAAGACUCUCCCUCCCCCCAACCCCAUCCCCAUCUCUAAGCUAUGGGGCAAUCAUUCCCCAUUUUUCCUUUGCCAUCCUUGACCCUCAUCCACACACCCCGCCCCCCCAUCCUCCAGCAGGCUGGCCCCUCUCCCUUCCAUGUCCAAGUCUUCUUCCAGAAGAUGCAUUUGGAUCCCAGAGGAGUGUUUUCUGGAAGACAAUCUUUCAACAUCCCUACAUUCCUGACAUAAAGCAGGAAUUUGCACAUGGCGUAGAGAGCUCCCUCUCCCACCUCUCUGCCCAGUCUUGUUACCUCACUCCUGCUCCAGCCAUUGUGAUGGGCUCAGCCAGCUCCCUGUUCUGAUGUGCCCUGCAACAGCUCAGGGGUCUUGUGACUUGGAGAGGUCCUCAGCAGGCCUGGGAGCCCGGAUUGGAGCCUUGGCUGCCGAUGAGAAGCACUUACCUGCCAAGAUUUGCUGAUGCCAGACGAUCUCCCCAGCAUGUGAAUGCUUAACGGACAUUGCCAUCUCUACCCCCUUGGUCCUCCUUGCUUCUUUCCAUACAAUAAGACACCUCAGAAGCAAAAUGGCGGCCCUUGCUCCAGGCAGGACAUCAGGCUGUCUGGGGAGUUGGCCCUGGGCUUCUGUGUUGUGUGCAGAGACUGCACAGUAAAACAGUCACUUUUGCCAACAAGAAUGUGUGGCACCCCACAUCUCCCUACCUUGCACUCUAGGGCCAGACCACUCUCUGCAUGGACCAGACCAUUUUCCCAAACCCAUGGUGCUUCCCCCGACCCCACUCAACCUACAUUCUGAGGUGGGGAGGGAUGGAUCAGAGGCCAUAGUGGCCCCCUGGAUAAUCCUGACAUGGGGUGGAGUCGGGUGAGGCAGAGGGAGCAGCACCCAACACCUGCACUGGGCCACAGUGGGAAAGAACACAGUUUGGUUGCAGUUGGGUUGUCUGACCGUCUAUAUUUGGAUCUAUAACUGUACUUUGCCUGGCGCUGUGCGCAAGGUCCAAAAACUUAUUGCUAGUACCUAGACACAUACAAGGCUGUCCAGCCAAAUCUUAAUGUAAAGUAGCUAGAGCCAUGGAAGUUCAGUAUGAAUUAAAGGAAAAAAAAGUAUUGAAUUACAAAUAAUAAAUGGUGUGUGUGUGUGCUUAUUUGCUUGGUCCAUCGGUAUUCUUCAUCUCCAGUAUUUCUGGCAUCCUUAGAUGUGCUCAACGGCAAGUCCCGAAGGCCAUGAGCAUACCUAAGUGUGGCCCACACACAUGUCCUCAUCUCAGGAAGAGAGGCAGCAUGAUUAAAUGGAAUGGCUGAGUUUUUUAUUUGGGGUUUUGAAUUUUUAUUAUUUUUUUUAUUUAACUCCUGUUCAUUAUUUCUUAUUUUUGACAAGCUUAUACAGGUUUACAACAUAUUGGGAUUGGAUCCACCUCCAGUACCCUCUCUUAGUCCCCCUCCCAGCUCUGGUUGUUCCCUUCCUAC
ensembl:lncRNA